rnacentral:rRNA from 1 species
AGCGAACGCUGGCGGCAGGCCUAACACAUGCAAGUCGAACGAUCCUUCGGGAUAGUGGCGGACGGGUGAGUAACACGUGGGAACGUGCCCUUUGGUUCGGAACAACUGAGGGAAACAUGUGCUAAUACCGAAUGUGCCCUUCGGGGGAAAGAUUUAUCGCCUUUAGAGCGGCCCGAGUCUGAUUAGCUAGUUGGUGAGAUAAUGGCUCAGCAAGGGUACGAUCAGUAGCUGGUCUGAGAGGAUGACUAGCCACAUUGGGACUGAGACGACGGCCCAAACUCCUACGGGAGGCAGCAGUGGGGAAUCUUGCGCAAUGGGCGAAAUCCUGACGCAGCCAUGCCGCGUGGAUGAUGAAGGUCUUAGGAUUGUAAAGCUCUUUUACCCGGGAUGAUAAUGACAGUACCGGGAGAAUAAGCCCCGGCUAACUCCGUGCCAGCAGCCGCGGUAA